GUUCAAGCGUGAUGGUGCAUAUGAGAGAUAUUGAGCAGAUAUUUAUUCAAACACCUACCAUAAACUGAAAAGUUAAUUUAAUUGCUCUGAGCUUUUGAAAUAGCCUCCAAACUGUUACCAGAAUGACCUUUCUUCAAUUACUUCUGACCUUGUCAAUGACCUGAUUUUAACCCUUUAAUGGUAGCCUCCUAUCUACAGGAUGAACAUCAGUGUCCUUGCUCAUCCAAGAUCAACUGCAGAGGAGGACGAGGGAAAUUUUAUAUGGGAACAAUUAUCUGAAAAAUACAAUAGAAGGCAACUGGAAAAGAGGCAAGGAUUCUAACUACAUACUGCAGAAAAAAUAUUCACACCUGUCAAAUUCCAACAGCUGGCAUUGUUGUUGUUCUACGAAUAAGCACACACAGAAUCCUCGUGAAUAGUUCUUUGUCUCUUGCUCUAGUAAAUCAUAACCUGCUUGUAGCUUUUUUAUGAACCUUCAGGAAUAACUCUUCAGAGGAUGCUAAUACAUCAUUAAGAUUAAAUUGAACCUCAAAGGUGGGUUUUUUUUCCAAAAUGAUAAAGGCCACCAACACUGCAAGGUUUGCCGUCAUUCCCUUGAUCUGGUAAGUGACACCGUCUUCAGGGUUUGUGUACUCAAAGAUAUGAUUAAUAAAACGGUGACCAAGACGUGUGACGUAAUGCUGGUCAUGGACCUGUGGAUGCAGGAAAUAGGCCAGAGGCACCAGGAAUACAUCCUUAACUUCAGCAGGAUUCGGCUGGGCCUGGAAGUUGUGGUCUAUUAAACCCACAAAUGGAGUUAUCAAUGUAUCUGUCUAAAAGCAGAAAACAAAACAGACAAAUUAAGAAGUGAAGUGAUACUGCUUCAAAUCCUAAAAUCAUGCCACUUCUAGGUGAGCUAAGAAAAUACACCGAACCUGGGAGAAGGGGAAGAAAGCUUAUUCCGGAAACAAAUUUAUGUUCCCCCUAAAAUGGGAGUCAUCCUGCUCUACCUGAGGUGACAUCUAUGAGAUGACUCUGAAAAUGAUUUCUUGUAUGAACAUAAAGUAGUACAAUCUUUUGGAAUGGCAAUUUGGCAGUAUCAUAAAAAUGUGUUCGCUUUGACCUGGGAAUUGCAUUUGUGUAUCUGUAUGAUAAAUUCCUACCAGUAAGAAAAGACACAAGUAUAAACCUGAAGAAUUAGUUUCAACAACAGCCCCAAAUUCUAAAGUUAUCACUCUUCACUUUAUAGGCAUUUAGGUUAUAUAAAUUAGGGUUAUAUCCAUAAAAGAGGAUACUAUGUAGCCUUUAAAAACAAUGGGAUAGACAUCUUUCCUUCUCAGUAAAGAAAAAAAUGUGCUAUACUUAUGAACAGAAAAGUAAAGUGAUAUAAUACUAGUUAUGACAUAUUCCCAUUUAUGGAAAAAUUUCAUAGUACAUACACAUAUAUAUAUAAUUAUGUGUCUUAUAUAUAACUAUAUGUGAACUACUUUAUAUAACACACAUGUAUAUAUUACAUGGGAGAGGGAUUUCUAUUUACAACCACAACUGCUUGCAAAUGAACAUGAGUGGCCGGGUGUGGUGGCUCACGCCUGUAAUCCCAGCACUUUGGGAGGCUGAGGUGGGCGGACCACCUGAGGUCAGGAGUUUGAGACCAGCCUAGCCAACAUGAUGAAAUCCCGUCUCUACUAAAAAUACACAAAUUAGCCGGGUGUGGUGGUGCGUGCCUGUAAUCCCAGCUACUCAGGAGGCUGAGGCAGGAGAAUUGCUUGAACUUGGGAGGCGGAGAUAGAUUGCAGUGAGCCGAGAUCAUGCCACUGCACUCCAGCCUGGGUGACAGAGAGAGGCCCAGUCUCAAAAAUAAAAAUAAAUAUAUAAAAGUAAAAAAGCAAAUGAACAUGAGUGUUGUCAAAUGAAAGACUGUUUUGUUAUACUGGAAACCCUGAGAGGGAGGCCUGGGGCUGAGUGAGGAUGUGGGAACUGGUAAGAGCUGCCUGCCUUUGUAUUAGAAAGUGAGAAGAACUGGAAUUCCUGGAGCAUCCCAAGAGGAAGUGGGUGGAAAAAGCCAGAGAGGUAGACACAUGGUGAGGCUGGGACCUAUCCGGCCUGCAGAAUGUUCUGAGGGACAGCCAAAGACAGGAAACCAAAUUUAGGAACAGAGACAACUCAGACCAUUAACCAAAAUAAUAGUGAAAGUCAACAUUUGGACCAGGAGGAGACAAGAGGAACAUAGACUUCGUAUGUCCUUGGGGCAGGAAAUUUGGGGUCAUUAAGUUACCCGAGGGCAGAGGCAACAUUCUACCAGCACGUAACACCACACCUGGCAUUGGGGAAAUGCUUAGUCUCUGAAUAUGGAGUUUUCCAGGUGGACUCUGAGAUAAGGACUCAGAUGCAAGUGAUUUUUUAAGAAAGUGCUCCCAGGGGAAACAGUUAAGGGGAAGAGGGGAGCAAUACUCAUAAGGGAAGAAGGCUGGCAAGGGCACCAUGGGGUGUUCUGGAGGGUAAAUUAAUAUGCAGUUUGUCCCACAUGGAGACAAGGGAGCUGGGAUUUCAUGCUCCCCAGCCCCAGUCAGUCACUGGUUAAGGACUACCUUGCCAGAGGUGAAUUCACAGGCACUCCCAGCUCUCUGUGCAGGACACAUGGCAAGGUGGCUCCAGUAUCAAGGGUACCAGUAUUCAGAAGAAAGCUGCCAAGUGUUGUCAGAGGCGUUUGAACCAGAGCAACUCCAUCUUGAAUAGGGGCUGGGUAAGAUAAGGCUUGGAGCUACUGGGCUGCAUUCCCAGGAGGUUAGGGCAUGCUUAGUCACCAGAUGAGACUGAGAUACAAGUCAUAAAGACCUUACAGUAAAGAAGGCCAUCAAAACGCACCAAAACCAAGAUGGCAAUGAAAGUAACCUCUGGUCAUCCUCACUGCUCAUUAUACGAUAAUUAGAAAGCAUUAGAAUGUUAAAAGAUACUCCCACUAGUGCCAUGACAGAUUACAAAUGCCACGGCAAUGUCAGGAAGUUACCCUACAUGGUCUAAAAAUGGGAGGAACUCUCACCUCUGGGAAUUGCCCAUCCCUUUCCUGGAAAACUCAUGAAUAACCCACCCCUUGUUUAGCAUAUGAUCAAGAAAUAACCAUAAAAAUGGCCAACCAGCAGCACAUGCUGUUGCUCUGUUAUGGAAUAGCCAUUCUUUUUUUUCUUUACUUCUCUAAUAAACUUGCUUUCACUUUAUGGACUCACCCUGUGAGAUCCUAGAACCCUCUCUUAGGGUCUGGAUCAGGCCCCCUAUCUGGUAACAGUGAGUUAUCAGAAGCCCUGGGGUUGUAAGAGGAAUAUGAAGGGGCCUGGACAGAGCCCCAACAAUGUAUGCUCAGUAAAUAUUCGUGGUUGCUGCUACCAUUGGUGACCACAACUUACGGGCACCUAGUCUAGUUCCCAGCACCCUCUGAUUCCUUACAACAAUCUGAUCGCGAAGAAGCCUUAACAACUACAAUUAGAGACGUGAAGAAACUUGCCCAAGGGCAUAUUCUGCUGAUACUUGGCAGAAACUGGAUUCGACCACAGAUGUGUUGCUCAUACUCCUGGGUAUAUUUCAGAGACCUUUGCAAAAAGUAGUACAUAAAUGUCUGACAAAAGGGAAAACUGGGGUGGGGGUUGUGGUGUCACAGCCUGCCUGGAAGGCUUAUGUAGCGGGUACAUACAUAGGUGCAUACAUACAUAGGUAGCUACUCUGGAGGCUGAGGCAGGAGAAUUGCUUGAACUUGGGAGGUGGAGGUUGCAGUGAGCUGAGAUCACUGGGACUCGAGAUCACUUGAGAAAAGCCAAUAGCACCCUUCCACUCCCAGCUAUGAUCUCCAGACAUUACCAAAUUCCCCAGGGUUGAAAAAUCACUCCAGGUUAAGAGCCACGUAGAUUAGAUUAUGCUUAUAAUUUUCAAUAAAUGGCAUUUUUGUGAUACAUUUUAAAAAUUAGCAGGGGCCAAAAAACAAAGCAACCCUCCCUUGCACUUCCAAACAAAGCAGACUUUUUAAAGCCUUUGUUUAAUCUCUCAAUCACGCCAUUUUAGAAAUCUCCUGUUCCAGGAGUAUCUGGCCCCCAGGAAUCUCCCAGAGACACUUUCCUGUUAAUGCUCCUGAAUUCUAUCCACCCACAUGCAGAACUCAGUAGCACCUGGGGACCUUGGGAACAGAGUUAGUCUCAUUUUGGAAACUUUUAAUCAGUAUAGCUAAAUUAGUUAAUUGAUUUCUAAAGUAAAUCCUCCAAAUGCUGGUGGAUUUGCGGAAAUCAACUGUAAAGAGUUCCCAUUAGAAAACCAAAUGGAAAAGUAAUUGACACAUUUCGUGUGUAAUCCCAUGUCUCCAUCUCGCUUUCAUACACACACACUUAGAAAACAUUUAUUGAGUGGCCACUAGCUUUUUGCAAACAAAACCACCCUUGGGUACUGACCUUUCUAUUUUUAAAAAGGACCCAAUUAAGACAGACAUUGUCUCAGCAUCACUGAUCUUCAAAACACUGCCCCACCAAGACUUCAGUCAAGUGGAACAUAAAGGAUCAUCUAACCCACUGGUUUUCUAAGUGUUAGGCAACAGUGGGACU
rnacentral:lncRNA from 10 species